GUUUGGGGCUGGGGGCGGGGACGCUGCGCGCACCGAGCAGGGCGCGGGCGGCGGGGCGGGGCGGGGCGACCCGGGAAUCUCUGUACCCGCCGCGCGAGCGGGGAGCCCAGGCCGGGGAAAAGGCAGGAAGCGCCGACUUCAGACGCCUCCCGCAGACGAGCAACGCAGUGUGGCCACGGGCCCCCGCUCCCAGGUCGGCGCCGACCACGGAGGGCGAGCAGACGGGGCGCAGCGGCUGCUUCUAGGCUCCAGGAAGGGGAGCGGAGCCGCCCGGACGGCCCGUCACCUGCUCCGACCGCCGCUGCAGAGGGCUCUCCCCACCAAGGGACUGGGGCCGCGGCCCGGAACGGGACCUGCGAGUUUCGGCCGCCGCCUGCCAAGAUUUGGAGCCACGAACAUGCUCCCCAGAAUCAAGCGAAGAAUUUGUUAAACCGGGUUUCCCACCUGCGCCCCCAUCCCAGCGAAGAACGCUCGAUUCUAGGGACGCCAGCCGCCCGAGCACAGCCACCCCACGUUCCCAGGCGGGCACAUUGUUAAGAUCAGCGGGCCUUCGUACAAACAUCUUGACUGUGGCUGGUAAUGAAGAUGAGUCUCCUGUCUGUGGGGCGCCUGGUUAGCCACCACUAUGCCCAGUCCACCCCGUCCACCCUGCUACAAGCGGAGGCCAAGAACCGGGUAGCGUGCGCCGCGAGAGGGGGUUGUAUGGGCUGGAGCCACCUGGCUGGCCCUUUCAGGAUUUGUGGCCUUGAGCUGGGCCCUGGUGCUGGAGGUCGGGGAAGUGGAAGGAAGACGGUCUGGCCAGAGAAUGGAAGAACCAUAGGUUCCCUGGGAGCUGUACUUAGGGGACAGUAUGCCCCCGAGAGGCAGUAACCAGUAGUAGUUUUCAGAUGCCUCGAGCUCAGGGACGAACUCUCUUCUCCUGACCCCUCCGGGCUAGCUGCUCAGGGUAGACCCACUCUCUUCCGGAAGGUGGGGGAUGACAGUGAGGGAAUCACUUGCCGUUUGCUUGGCCCAAGGCUCAGACUCUCAGGGUUGACUUUUAAGUUAGUUUCAUAUGAGCUGAGGGGCCUACUUUCAAAAAGGAAGCACCAGACCAUUGGCCUCAACAUUUGAGCAGGAAACAUCAGAGUAGAAAGGGAUUUUGAAAACAGUGUAAAGUUACCUUGAGAAACCAUUCAUUUCAGUACAUUUGUCAGAGGAUACUUUGCUGGUCUUUCAACCCUUAAUGAUCCACGGUGAGAGUUUCAUGGAGUAUGCAAGACAUUGCUCUCCAAUCUGAGUGAAAUUCCAGCUGUGGCCCUGGAAGCCAUGUGGAGAUGUGGGUGCAUUCCUUCAGCUACAGGCACAGAAGCCAGUUCACUUGGCCACUGAAGGUCCUGUUUCCGUGUGAUGUGGAGCCUGAUGAAUAUGUGGCCUCCCCUCUAGGAAUACGCCUGGGCUGCCUUUGCACACACUUACUUCAGCUGGCCUUGAACUCAAAGAUAAUCGCUUCUGUAACAAGCGAAUCACAGCCUCUCCUCCCUGUGCAAACAAGAGAACUAGCCAAAGGAAAAUAAUGAUAGGGGAAAAUCUGUCAUUCUUCAAAACUGAAAAAGGAUUCCACCCACAUACCAGACAUUUCAAGGAAUUUCUUUACGACUUGAUGCAGAUGAGACCAGUUUGAGCGAAAGGUUUGACAGCCUUCAAUUCACCUCACAGAAUAGAAAGGCCUCUCUCAGGAGGGACCCCCACCAGAACCCAGCAACACUCCCAAGAUGAUUGUCUAAGGAUGAAAUAUCUGGAGUGUGGUAUCCAUCUUGUGACCAUGAGGAGAAGGCCAAGAGAAUCUGAGAGAUGCCCGCAUAGAACUUUAAGAGCUGCUGAACCAACCCUGGAUAUGCCUCCCUUUACCCUCCUUUCCAUAUGGUGUAAUUAAAUGUCCUUAAUGUCUGAGCCACUUUUAGGUAGUCUGAUAUGUGAAGCUGAAGGUAUGGUUGGAACCUUAAUAAAACUAUUGAAGAUAAUUCUUGAAAGAAAACACAUAUAAAUGGAUUAGGAAUUGGGAUUAAAUUAUCAUAAUAAUCUAAAUCUAAAGACCAGAUUAUUGUUGUAAAAACUGAGAGGACAGGAUGGCAUAGGAGAAGGGAAAGCAAAAAUGUGCUUAUUUUGUCAUCU
rnacentral:lncRNA from 1 species